rnacentral:misc_RNA from 1 species
AACGCACAUUGCGCCCGCCAGCAUUCUGGCGGGCAUGCCUGUUCGAGCGUCAUUUCAACCAUCAAGCCCCCGUGGCUUGUGUUGGGGACCUGCGGCUGCUCCGCAGGCCCUGAAAUACAGUGGCGGGCUCGCUAGUCACACCGAGCGUAGUAGACAUUUUUAUCUCGCUCAGGGCGUGCUGCGGGUUCCGGCCGUUAAACCCCCGCCUUCUAACCCAAGGUUGACCUCGGAUCAGGUAGGAAGACCCGCUGAACUUAA